AGAUAUUCCGAUGGAGAUGGUCUA
rnacentral:siRNA from 1 species